CACGUAGGCGGCGAUUCAAGUCAGAGGUGAAAGCCCGGGGCUCAACCCCGGAACUGCCUUUGAAACUAGAUUGCUAGAAUCCUGGAGAGGUUAGUGGAAUUCCGAGUGUAGAGGUGAAAUUCGUAGAUAUUCGGAAGAACACCAGUGGCGAAGGCGACUAACUGGACAGGUAUUGACGCUGAGGUGCGAAAGCGUGGGAAGCAAACA
rnacentral:rRNA from 1 species